CCCUUAGAUGUCCUGGGCUGCACGCGCGCUACACUGAUGUGUCCAGUAAGCACCUAACCUAUUCCGAGAGGAGCGGGUAACCUUAGCAAAGCACAUCGUGAUGGGGAUAGAUUAUUGCAAUUAUUAGUCUUGAACGAGGAAUUCCUAGUAAGCACAAGUCAUCAGCUUGUGUUGAUUACGUCCCUGCCCUUUGUACACACCGCCCGUCGCUACUACCGAUUGAAUGGCUUAGUGAGCCUUUGGGAUUGGCAGCCAACACCGGCAACGGUAGCUGGCCGCCGAAAACUUAUGCAAACUUGGUCAUUUAGAGGAAGUAAAAGUCGUAACA
rnacentral:rRNA from 1 species